rnacentral:rRNA from 1 species
UACGGAGGGGGCGAGCGUUGUUCGGAAUCAUUGGGCGUAAAGGGCGCGUAGGCGGCCGUCCAAGUCGGAUGUGAAAGCCCUCGGCUUAACUGAGGAAGUGCACCCGAAACUGAGUAGCUAGAGUACGAAAGAGGGUCGCGGAAUUCCCGGUGUAGAGGUGAAAUUCGUAGAUAUCGGGAGGAACACCGGUGGCGAAGGCGGCGACCUGGGUCGAGACUGACGCUGAGGCGCGAAAGCGUGGGGAGCAAAAGGG